rnacentral:rRNA from 1 species
GACGGAAGGUGCAAGCGUUGCUCGGAAUCACUGGGCGUAAAGGGUGCGUAGGCGGCUUGGUGGGUCUGGUGUGAAAGCCCCGGGCUCAGCCCGGGAAGGGCACUAGAAACUGCCGAGGUGGAGUGCCGGAGGGGAGAGUGGAAUUCCUGGUGUAGCGGUGAAAUGCGUAGAUAUUAGGAGGAACACCGGUGGCGAAGGCGCCACUCUGGGCCGAAACUGACGCUGAGGAGCGAAAGCAUGGGUAGCAAACAGG